rnacentral:tRNA from 1 species
GCGCCCAUAGCCCAACCGGACAGAGCAACGGCCUUCUAAGCCGCAGGUUGCAGGUUCGAAUCCUGCUGGGCGCGCCA